ACGUAAGGACACAUAACAAGCUUUCUUCUAUCCGUUGGGCAACAGUCGUUGUAAUGAACGUCAGAUAUGGCAUGAUAUUUCAAGGAAGUUUAACUUGAGCAAUUACUGAUUCCAUCCAGACUCCGGAGCCUCUGUUUGUCAAGAAGGAAGAACACGAGU